UCAAGAGCAGAAUUGUUACUGAGAAAGAACAACACCCUGGUUGCUGUAGCUGACCUGCUACUCAUCCCAAUUGUACCCUGGAUCUUAAUUUAAUUGGAAGAACAAUGAAGACAUUUGUUCCUACUUUAUUCAUGUUCUUGUGGCUGCAGCUGGAUGGGGUGAGCCAAGGUGAGCAGGUGGAGCAGCAUCCGUCCACCCUGAGUGUCCAGGAGGGAGCCAGCGCUGUCAUCAACUGCACUUACACAGACAGUACCUCAGUCUACUUCCCUUGGUAUAAGCAAGAACCCGGAGAGCAUCCUCAGCUCAUUAUUGACAUUCGUCCAACUGUGGAAAGAAAGCAGGAGCAAAGACUGAUCGUUUUACAGGAUAAGAAAGCCAAACACUUCUCCCUGCACAUCACAGACACCCGGCCUGGAGACUCUGCCAUGUACUUCUGUGCUGCAAGUGCACACUGCUCCACAGGCACCUGCAGCCUGUCCUCAAACCUGCCGCAGGGACUGGAGCCCCAUCCACAUCCUGUGUCUCAGGCACAGCAUUUUUUAAUCAUCCCCUUUCCCUGGCUGCAGCACAUUGUGAAGGUCAUAGAGAACCAGAACUCCUGUGCUUCAGAGAAGAAGAGGCUGGGGCAUGCUCAGCCCCAGUUUGAAGGGAAAUCAGCAGAGGGCGCUGUCUCUUCAGAUGUGGUUGAUGUCUGCAUUCAGGUGGUGGCUUCACAUGACAGACUGUCACAGUGA